rnacentral:lncRNA from 1 species
CAGGUUUCCCUUGCUAUAGGAAAGUUUGCUUUAUGCCACUUCACUUUUAUGAAGACCUACAUUAGUACUUGGUUUUGCUAACCAAAGGAAAUUCAAAGGGGAUUUUUGCUUUUACAAAAACAAAGCGAAAAUAGCACUCGGCGUUUGCUUUACCACUAGCCGUUUUAGAGGCUAAGCAGUCAAGCACACAUCAAGUCAAGCCUGCCACAUCAGCCACAACAGAUGACGAACCUCAACCUAUGACGUCGAGGCAGGGAGACAUGGAAGCCCAGUCUCCCGUACCUCCCACCGCCCCAACCUCCAACGACUCCGCCUGACACGGCAUCACCGCCACCUCUCAGCCUUCCAGUGUGCUUGCUGUCUUCCCUAUUCUGGUAAGUGAAGCUACACUGUACAUGCAUUAUUUCUACUUUAUAUAGGCUCUGUAUUUAUCAUAUCAUUUCUACUUUUACAAUAUAUUUGUGUUG